CCCUGCCAUUUGUACACACCGCCCGUCGCUCCUACCGAUUGGAUGGUCCGGUGAGCCUUCCGGACCGCGAGCUCCACGGUGGUUCGCCACCGAGGGGGUUGCGGGAAGUUAUGCAAACCUUAUCAUCUAGAGGAAGGAGAAGUCGUAACA
rnacentral:rRNA from 1 species